rnacentral:sRNA from 1 species
ACACGGAGUGAAGAAGGGGAAAAGUUACAGAAGACCCGUCAAAGCGCCCAAAGCAAUUUGUCCCUUC